rnacentral:rRNA from 1 species
AUUGAACGCUGGCGGCAGGCCUAACACAUGCAAGUCGAGCGGAGCGGCGGACGGGUGAGUAAUGCCUAGGAAUCUGCCUGGUAGUGGGGGAUAACGUCAGGAAACGGGCGCUAAUACCGCAUACUAUCAGAUGAGCCUAGGUCGGAUUAGCUAGUUGGUGGGGUAAAGGCCAACCAAGGCGACGAUCAGUAACGGGUCUGAGAGGAUGAUCAGUCAGACUGGAACGGAGACACGGUCCAGACUCCUACGGGAGGCAGCAGUGGGGAAUAUGGGGUAAUGGGCGAAAGCCUGAUCCAGCCAUGCCGCGGGAGUGAAGAAGGUCUUCGGAUUGUAAAGCACUGUAAGUUGGGAGGCGUUACCAACAGAAUAAGCACCGGCUAACUUCGUGACAGCAGCCGCGGUAAUAC